AUGCACGCUGGCGGCGUGCCUAAUACAUGCAAGUCGAGCGAACAGACGAGGAGCUUGCUCCUCUGACGUUAGCGGCGGACGGGUGAGUAACACGUGGAUAACCUACCUAUAAGACUGGGAUAACUUCGGGAAACCGGAGCUAAUACCGGAUAAUAUAUUGAACCGCAUGGUUCAAUAGUGAAAGACGGUUUUGCUGUCACGUAUAGAUGGAUCUGCGCCGCAUUAGCUAGUUGGUAAGGUAACGGCUUACCAAGGCGACGAUGCGUAGCCGACCUGAGAGGGUGAUCGGCCACAAUGGAACUGAGACACGGUCCAGACUCCUACGGGAGGCAGCAGUAGGGAAUCUUCCGCAAUGGGCGAAAGCCUGACGGAGCAACGCCGCGUGAGUGAUGAAGGUCUUCGGAUCGUAAAACUCUGUUAUUAGGGAAGAACAAAUGUGUAAGUAACUAUGCACGUCUUGACGGUACCUAAUCAGAAAGCCACGGCUAACUACGUG
rnacentral:rRNA from 1 species